CACGUAAGCGCGGCCUGCUGACGUGGAAGGAAAUCGCUUCCUCAAAAACGCGAUUUCCUUCCAUGUCGGCAGGUCACGCUGACGUGG
rfam:Gossypium raimondii Chr08_contig_1205, whole genome shotgun sequence.